UAAAGUUUCUCCUUUUUCAUUUUAUUUUACUCAUUUUUGUGUGUGUUUAAAAGUUAGAUACAAAGACUAGCAAUUUCUGAGACAUUUAAGGAGAACCAGAGAAGUAUAGGAUCAUUUUGAUUCAAAAUCUAUUACUUUAGCUGAAAGGCUUAAGUUUUGGGUCAUCAUACCACUAAUGGCAAAUACUGUUUUUUGUUAUGGCAAUUAAAAUGUAUUGACCAAAGUCUUUGAAGUUCAGUCACAUUCUACAUUGUAACACGUAAAUCCCAUUACGUCCUCAGACAGUCUGCAAAUGCGACCACAACUAGACUUACUUUGUCCUCAGAAGAUCUUUGCAGAUACCUGGACUGAUAUGACUGUGCUUUUACAUAUACAUCUUACUUACGGUUUCUUUACGGUCAGAUAUAUGCAACACACACACAGUCUGUACACUAGAAAUCAACUCCAGAGAGUGAGGCAGACAGUUUCUUCUUCUCUCAGACAGGUAGACUCUCAGUCUAUUAGUGAUCAAACGGGUUGAGACGGAAAGUGUUGGAAGCCCAGAGAGACAGAGAUGCAGACAGACAGAAGUCACUCAUCAGGGCAGUCGAGAUGUGCGUCUCCAUGUGCCGAUAAAGGGACAGAGCCGAUGGAGGGAUUGACAGUAUGAUGGAGGAAGAGAAGGAGGGGAAGAAGAGGAGAGAUGACAUCAUGUGGUCAGUGGCUGUCUGUCCUGCUAUGCAUGUGUUAGGCUGUAAUCGCUGGGGUAUUAGAGACUAAAGGAGAAGAAAGGAGGCAGUGAUUAGAGGGAGGAAAAGCAGAGGUUACGUGAGUAACACAGGGCGACUGAAGGCCUCCACGUCUUGACAACAGAACUCACCUCAAAGAGUCGUCUCUGGUUGUCUCUGAGCUCCUUUUUGUCUGAUGAAGUACUCCUACUUGGAGUUCCAAAUACAUAGAGAUGUGAAGAGACAAGAGCACAGCCAGGAUACUUCAGCAGGUCUGAGGCCCACAGGAGGAGCGAGCGCCGGGAGAGGACUGGGUAGUGGUCUGGAGACAGGGGUCCAUCCAUCACACAUGUCCUGACCUUAGGGUGACCCCAGCAUGGCAGCCAAUGAGGCGCCCUCAUCCCCAAAGAAAGACCCCCACCCCACACACACACACACACACACACACACACACACACACACACACACACAGAAGAGAUCGGGUGACAGUGAGAGGAGUCUGGAUGUUCUUUGUACUGGCCAUCGUAGCUUCCCACAAUCCUUUGUUUUUUACAUGACUAAUGUGAGUACCAACACCUGACAGACAGGCUGUUCAUCCUCUCUCGCUCACACACACACACACACACACACACACACACACACACACACACACACACACACACACACACACACACACACACAGAAACAGUCCCUCAGAAGCUCACCCACCACCCUUCAGAUCAAACAGGAAAAACCACGGACGAACAUCUUGUGUAAGCCACAGAUAAGACAGACCUGGAUCAAAGACAAUAAAACUGAAUGUACAAAAUAUUAGUU
ensembl:lncRNA